rnacentral:ncRNA from 1 species
AAUAAUAAUUUUCUCCGAGUCCGGUGUUCUUAUCUCUGCAGGGGAUGGUUGCCGGUCCGACAGGGUACACAAGGAAACACGUGUGCCUCCCACUGUGGAAAGGAGUAAUGGCUUUAUGCCG